GAGUAAAUGAUUCCAUGGUUAAAUGCAAUAACAAUUCUUCUGUCCAUAGCUCUUUUCCUCGUACUGCUGAUAAUAAGCAUGUCAACGGCCAUAGUCGGUAUGGCACCAGACGAUAUAUGGUACGUGGCAAAGCCUGACCAUAAACCAACACAAUGACC